rnacentral:rRNA from 1 species
AUUGAACGCUGGCGGCAUGCUUUACACAUGCAAGUCGAACGGCAGCACGAAAGAGCUUGCUCUUUUGGUGGCGAGUGGCGAACGGGUGAGUAAUGCAUCGGAACGUACCGAGUAAUGGGGGAUAACUAUCCGAAAGGAUAGCUAAUACCGCAUACGCUUUGAGAAGGAAAGUGGGGGCUCUUCGGACCUCACGUUAUUCGAGCGGCCGAUGUCUGAUUAGCUAGUUGGUGGGGUAAAGGCCUACCAAGGCGACGAUCAGUAGCGGGUCUGAGAGGAUGAUCCGCCACACUGGGACUGAGACACGGCCCAGACUCCUACGGGAGGCAGCAGUGGGGAAUUUUGGACAAUGGGCGCAAGCCUGAUCCAGCCAUGCCGCGUGUCUGAAGAAGGCCUUCGGGUUGUAAAGGACUUUUGUUAGGGAAGAAAAGGAUAGUGUUAAUACCAUUA